AUGGCUGGGACAUUAAACAUUGUUGUAGGCUCCCAUGUAUGGCUGGAGGAUAAAGAUUUAGCUUGGAUUGAUGGUGAGGUCUUCCGAAUUGAAGGCCUAAAUGCCCAUGUACGCACUACUAACGGAAAGACGGUUACUGCAAGCAUAUCAAACAUUCACCCGAAGGACACAGAAAUUCUACCUGAUGGAAUUGAUGACAUGACACGAUUAUCAUACUUACAUGAGCCUGGUGUUCUGGACAAUCUCGCUGUCCGAUAUGCCAAAAAUAUUAUUUAUACCUAUACUGGCAAUAUUUUGAUUGCAAUAAAUCCAUUCCAAAGGCUGCCUCAUAUUGCUGAACCCAGUACUAUGGAGAAGUACAAAGGUGCAAAUUUUGGUGAGCUUGAUCCUCAUGUAUUUGCACUCGCUGACGUUUCUUACAGGCAAAUGAUGAAUGAGGAAAAGAGCAACUCCAUUUUGGUGAGUGGUGAAAGUGGUGCUGGUAAAACUGAAACCACAAAGCUGCUUAUGAGAUAUCUUGCAUUUUUGGGUGGACGAUCUAAAACUGGAGGGAGGACCGUUGAACAACAAGUUUUAGAAUCAAAUCCAGUCCUCGAAGCAUUUGGCAAUGCAAAAACUGUUCGGAACAACAACUCAAGUCGAUUUGGAAAAUUUGUUGAAAUCCACUUUGACAAGAGUGGGAAGAUAUCUGGUGCAGCCAUUAGGACAUAUUUGCUUGAGCGAUCUCGUGUUUGCCAAAUCAAUAGCCCAGAGAGGAAUUAUCACUGUUUUUACUUCCUGUGUUCAGCACCAUCGGAGGACAUUAAAAGGUAUAAGCUGGGCGACCCUUCGUCGUUUCACUAUCUCAACCAAUCUUCCUGCAUUAAAGUUGAUGGAAUGAGUGAUGCUGAGGAGUAUCUUGCAACAAGAAGUGCGAUGAAUACAGUUGGCAUAACUGAGCAGGAACAGGAGGCUACAUUUCGGGUUGUUGCUGCUGUGCUUCACCUUGGGAACAUCAAUUUUGUUAAAGGGAGAGAUGCAGAUUCAUCUGUAGUAAAGGAUGAGAAAGCUAAGUUCCAUCUGAAUGCAGCAGCAGAGCUCUUGAUGUGUGACCGUGAGAAGCUGGAGAAUGCACUGAUAAAGAGGAAAAUAAAUACGCCAGAAGGAGUGAUUACCACAACAGUUGAUCCUAAUUCUGCUACUGUUAGCAGGGAUGGCUUAGCAAAACAAAUAUAUUGCCGACUAUUUGACUGGCUUGUAAAUAGGCUAAAUGCGUCGAUAGGACAAGAUGCACAGUCAGCACGUUUGAUUGGGGUGCUUGAUAUAUAUGGUUUUGAAAGUUUUAAGACUAACAGCUUUGAGCAAUUAUGCAUCAAUUUCACCAACGAAAAACUGCAACAGCAUUUUAAUCAGAAUGUCUUCAAAAUGGAGCAGGAAGAGUAUAAUCGAGAGCAGAUCGACUGGAGUUACAUAGAAUUCGUUGACAAUCAAGAUGUGCUGGACUUGAUUGAGAGGAAACCUGGUGGAAUUAUUGCACUUCUUGAUGAAGCUUGUAUGUUUCCGAAAUGCACGCAUGAAUCAUUUUCUCAGAAGCUGUAUGAGAAGUUCAAGAACAACAAAAGGUUUAGCAAACCAAAGCUUUCUCGUACUGCAUUUACAAUUCAACAUUACGCAGGAGAAGUAACCUAUCAGUCCGAUCAUUUCCUGGACAAAAACAGAGAUUAUGUAGUGGUAGAACAUGAAGAAUUGCUUAAUGCUUCCAAGUGCUCCUUUGUAUCAGGGUUAUUCCCAUCAGCACCAGAGGAGAACACAAAAUCGUCAAAGUCAUCAAUCGCUAAUCGAUUUAAGGGGCAACUCCACGAACUAAUGGAGACUUUGAGUUCUACAGAACCUCAUUACAUUAGAUGUGUUAAGCCCAAUAAUCUUCUUAAGCCUGCUACUUUUGAGAACAUCAAUGUUCUGCAGCAACUUCGAUGUUCGGGUGUUCUUGAAGCUAUCAGAAUAAGCUGUGCUGGAUACCCUACACGAAAAUUAUUUCAUGAUUUUCUUCAACGGUUUCGGAUCCUUGCUCCUGAAAUUUUGAAAGAAAGAAACGAUGACAAAGUAAUCUGCCGAAAGAUUUUGGACAAAACAGAACUCCAAGGUUAUCAGAUUGGAAGAACUAAGGUGUUCCUAAGAGCGGGUCAGAUGGCUGAACUGGAUGCUAGAAGAACUGAAGUGCGGAGUAAAGCAGCUAGAGUUAUUCAGAGUAGAUAUCACACUCAUGUUGCUCGUCAGAAAUUCCUUGCAAUACGCGACACAUCUGUAUCUUUUCAAUCUAUUGUUAGAGUAAUAUUGGCUUGUAAGCGGCGUGCAUUCCUGAGAAAUCAAGUUGCGGCGUUGAAAGUACAGAAAAGUGUCCGCUGGUACCUUGCUUUCAAGUCUUAUUCUACAAUGCGAUGUGCAGCCAUUACAUUGCAGGCAGGAUUGAGGGCUUUUGGUGCUUACAAAGAAUAUGUUCACAGAAAACAAAGGAAAGCUUCUAUCCAUAUCCAGGCUCGGUGGCGUUGCCACAGAGAUAAUUCAAAUUAUCUUAAGCUGAAGAGAUCAGUGUUGAUUUAUCAGUGUGCAUGGCGAAGACGUAUCGCUAGAAGAGAACUCAGAAAGCUUAAAAUGGCUGCAAGAGAUACAGAAAAUCUGAAGGUGGAGAAGGAGAAACUUGAGGAACACGUGGAAGAGCUAACAAGCCGUUUAGGUUUGGAAAUGAAACUGAGGGCUGACUUAGAGAACAGCAAAGCAGGAGAAAUCUCCAAAUUACAGGCUGCCCUUCGUGAGAUGGAGCAUCGAGUAGAAGAAGCCACAGCAGUGCAGGAAAGUGAAUCAGCCAAAAGGGCUGUUGAAGAAGCUCUAGCUCAAGAAAGAGAAAAAAUCACUAUAUUGACUAAUGAAGUUGAGGGGAUCAAGGUACUACUAUCAAGAGAACGAGAAGAAAACACUGCAACAAAGAAUGAUCUUGCUAUUGCUCAGGAAAGAUGUGAAGACCUGAAUGGAAAAAUCGAGGUUGCAGAUGAAAACAUCAAGCAGCUUAGAGAUACUGUGAAAAGAUUUGAAGAGAAUGUGACAGAGCUAGAAUCUUCACUGAUGACGGAGAAGCAACACAACGAGGCAACCAGAGGGGAACUUGGUGAAGCACACCAGAGAAUUGAAGAACUACUGAGACAAGUUGCAGAUGCUGAUGGAAAAUCCACCGUACUUCAGUCUACUGUGCAAAGGCUGGAAGAAAGUCUAACAGAGAGAGAGGGUACUUUGCUUCUAGAAAGGCAAGAAAGUGAGGCAAUCAAGAAAUCACUCGCUGAAGCUCGUGGAGAAAAUGAAGAAUUAGUCCAUAAAACUGAAGUUGCUGAAAAGGACAUUGCUAGGUUUCAAAACAACAUCGAAAGACUUGAAGAAGCUGCAAGAACAUUUGAGACUUCAUUGCUGGCUGAAAAACAGCACAGUGCUGCAAUCAUGUCACAGUUAGCUGAAACAAAGGAGGAAAUUGAAGAACUGCAAAAGAAGUUUACAGAUGCCAAUAGGACAAAUGACACGCUUCAAGAUUCUUUGAAGAGGCUUGAAGAAACUGCAGCCGCAAGGGAUGCCUUGCACGUAGCAGAAAAGAAAGAGCAUGGUCAAACCAAAGAAGCGCUUUCUAAAUCUCAGGAGAGAAAUUCGGAAUUGCUCAAGAAAGUUGAUGAGUCUGAGAAAACUAUAAAUAAGCUGAUGGAGAAUGUCAAGAGACUUGAGAAACAUGCAACAUCAAGGGAGUCAUUGCUGUUAAAGACAAAGCAAAAUCAGGAUGGCACAACAAAAGCACUAGCUGAAGCUGAAAAGAGAAACCAAGAGUUAAUGAAAAGCUCUGAGGAUUCAGAUAAGAAAAUUAGUCUGCUUGAGGAUUCAGUGAACAGACUAGAAGAAUGUAUUGCAGAGAAAGACUCUCUAUUGGCAACAGAAAGACAAGAAAACAAUGCUACCAAGGAAGAACUAGCCAAUGCCCAGAAAAAAACAAAGGAAUUAGUAAAUGAGUUACAACAUUGCCAAGAAAUCAGCAAGAGGCUUGAACAAGAUGGUACUGCCAAAGAUGCUUUACUGAUAUCAGAAAAACAAACACAUGAGGCGACCAAGAAAACUCUGACUGAAACUCUGGGGAGAAAUGAAGAGUUAAUCAAGAAAAUUCAGGAUUCUGAUAAACAUAGUCUUCAGCUUCAGCUAACUAUUGAGAGGCUUCAAGAAAAUGCAUCUGCAAAGGAGGCUUUACUCUUGAGAGAACGAGAGCAAAACAAUGCAACCAUGAAGGUGCAAGAAGAAAGUCAAGAAAAAAAUUCGCAAUUACUAAAGAAAUUUGAGGAUGUUGACAAGAAAAUUGACCUUCUACAAGGCACCAUACAGCGGCUUGGCGACCAUACAGAGAAAGACACGUUGCUGCUAUCUGAGAGACAAGAGAAGGAUGAAUUGAAGAAAGCACUCACUGAGACUGAAUACAAAAAUGAAGAAUUAACGAUAAAAAUUGGUGAAACCAACAAAAAAAUUGAGCAUCUGCAAAACAGUAUACAUAUGCUUGAACAAGACAUAGUGGCGAAAGAUGCUUCUUUGGAAGCUGAAAAACAAGAAAAUGACGCAAUUAGGAAAUCUCUUGUUGAAGCUCAGGAGAGAAAUGAUGAGCUAUUUAUGAAAAUUAGAGACGGUGAAUACAAGGCCCACCAGCUCCAAGAUACUGUGCAAAAGCUUCAAGUAGAUGCCAUAUCAAGACUGUCUUCCUUCGUACUGGAGAAACAAGAAAGUGAUGCUGUGAAGAAAGCACUUACUGAGGCUCGUGGAAGAAAUGAAGAUCUAAUAAGGAGAAAUGAAGACCUCCUUGAUAGAAAUGAUGACCUUAUCAAGAAAGUCGAAGAGCUUCAGGAGACCGUACAAAGGCUAGAAGGAAAAUCAUCUAACUUAGAGGCAGAAAACCAAACUCUUCGUCAGCAUUCGAUUGUGUCGACUCCAUCUACCGCCAAAUCUCAAGCUUCAUACUCUAAAAUCAGUAUGAUCCAUAGAAGUCAAGAAAAUGGUCAUAUUUUAAAUGGCAACGUACCAUAUGCUGAAAUGAGGUCCUCGUUUGGUACAGCAGAAACAAGACCCUAUAUGGGUAGUGCCCCUGAUUUGACUAUCCACAGGGACUAUGAUACUGGGGAGAAAAUGCAAAGGGUACUACUUAGUGAAGCAUAUCAGCAGCCCCAGGAUGAUCAGAAGUUAUUACUUAAGUACAUUACCCAACAUCUUGGAUUCUCUGGGAGCAAACCUGUUGCUGCUCUUCUUAUAUACCAAUAUCUUCUUCAUUCGAGAUCGUUUGAAGUCACAAAGACAGGUGUCUUUGACAGUAUCCUACAGGCUAUAAACUCAGCAACAGAGGCUCAACAUGACACGAGAAGCUUGGCCUAUUGGUUAUCCAACUUAUCGACAUUAUCAGUUCUCCUGCAACGCUCUUUUAGAACUGCUAGGACAGCAACCUCAGUUCCAUAUAGACGAAAAAUGUCGUAUGAUAGGAUUUAUCAAGCUAAUCAAGCAUCUGGGCUUGCUUAUUUAAGUGGUCAAUUAUUGGAUGAACCUGGUGCAUCGCACCAAAUUGAUGCAAAAUAUCCAGCUUUGCUCUUCAAGCAGCAGCUUGUGGAUCUGAUUGAAAAGGUGUACGGGUUGCUAAGUGACAAACUGAAGAAGGAGCUAAAUCCAUUGCUUGAGCUGUGCAUUCAGGAUCCAAGAACUUCUCAAGCAAAGGCCUCAGUGUCAUCUGCUGGCUUGGGCCAACACAACCAACUCACACAUUGGCUGGGCAUCGUGAAAAUCCUCAACAGCUACUUGUAUCUGCUAAUAGCCAACCAUGUUCCAACAAUUUUGGUCCACAAGUUGCUAACCCAAAUAUUUUCUAUGGUGAACGUCCAAUUAUUUAACAGACUCCUUCUGCGUCGUGAGUGCUGUUCAUUUAGCAACGGAGAACAUAUUAGAGCCGGAUUAGCUCAACUAAAACAUUGGUGCAAUGAUGUUGCUCAAGAGCCUGCAGAUUCAGCUUGGGAAGCACUGAGGCACAUAAGACAGGCUGCCGAUUUCCUGGUCAUGUCCCGAAAACCAAUGAGGACAUGGAGAGAGAUACGCAAUGAAAUUUGUCCGGCUCUCAGCUUACAGCAGCUAGAGAGAAUAGUUGGUAUGUACUGGGACGAUAUGAAUGGCACAAACGUGCUUUCAGCAGAGUUCACAUCAAGCAUGAGAGUAACCUUGCAUGAAGAAUCAAAUAGCCUCUCCAGCUUUUCAGUCCUUCUGGAUGAUGAUUCCAGCAUACCCUUUUCGCUCGACGACAUCGCAAAGUCGAUGCCGAACAUCGAGGACACGGUGGAGAGCGACCUGAUGCCCUUUAUUCGUGAAAACCAGAGCCUUGCACUUAUAUUGCAAAGGAGGGACUGA
rnacentral:rRNA from 1 species